GUUUAGGGCUGGGAUGCCCAGGUUAGGCCCAAAAAGUCUGUUGACCCAUGUUGAUUCUCCUCGUUUUAUAUCACCACCAUCUCCUUUCUCGAGUUUUGAAUUACCACCAUCUUCUUCAAUCAGGCUCACUGGAAGCGACACAGAUGAGGGGGAAGAAGCGUAUUGAGAUAUGUUACUACAGCACAAAACGGCUAUGAACAGCCUUUAAAUUAAAGGAUUAGAAAGAGAAUGGAAACGUAAAUUGAAUAUAAUGUAUCACAGAUUACAGCAACUAUUACCCGAACUAUUUAAAACCUUUCAAAUAAAGAAAAGCUACUGUACCUUAAA